GAGUUUGAUCGUGGCUCAGAUUGAACGCUGGCGGCAGGCCUAACACAUGCAAGUCGAGCGGUAGAGAGAAGCUUGCUUCUCUUGAGAGCGGCGGACGGGUGAGUAAUGCCUAGGAAUCUGCCUGGUAGUGGGGGAUAACGUUCGGAAACGGACGCUAAUACCGCAUACGUCCUACGGGAGAAAGCAGGGGACCUUCGGGCCUUGCGCUGUCAGAUGAGCCUAGGUCGGAUUAGCUAGUUGGUGAGGUAAUGGCUCACCAAGGCGACGAUCCGUAACUGGUCUGAGAGGAUGAUCAGUCACACUGGAACUGAGACACGGUCCAGACUCCUACGGGAGGCAGCAGUGGGGAAUAUUGGACAAUGGGCGAAAGCCUGAUCCAGCCAUGCCGCGUGUGUGAAGAAGGUCUUCGGAUUGUAAAGCACUUUAAAGUUGGAGGAAGGGCAGUUACCUAAUACGUGAUUGUUUGACGUUACCGACAGAAUAAAGCACCGGCUAACUCUGUGCCAGCAG
rnacentral:rRNA from 1 species